GCCCAGAUAGCUCAGUUGGUAGAGCAGAGGACUGAAAAUCCUCGUGUCGCUGGUUCGAUUCCGGCCUUGGGCA
rnacentral:tRNA from 1 species